rnacentral:rRNA from 1 species
AUUGAACGCUGGCGGCAGGCCUAACACAUGCAAGUCGAGCGGAUGAAGGGAGCUUGCUCCUGGAUUCAGCGGCGGACGGGUGAGUAAUGCCUAGGAAUCUGCCUGGUAGUGGGGGAUAACGUCCGGAAACGGGCGCUAAUACCGCAUACGUCCUGAGGGAGAAAGUGGGGGAUCUUCGGACCUCACGCUAUCAGAUGAGCCUAGGUCGGAUUAGCUAGUUGGUGGGGUAAAGGCCUACCAAGGCGACGAUCCGUAACUGGUCUGAGAGGAUGAUCAGUCACACUGGAACUGAGACACGGUCCAGACUCCUACGGGAGGCAUCAGUGGGGAAUAUUGGACAAUGGGCGAAAGCCUGAUCCAGCCAUGCCGCGUGUGUGAAGAAGGUCUUCGGAUUGUAAAGCACUUUAAGUUGGGAGGAAGGGCAGUAAGUUAAUACCUUGCUGUUUUGACGUUACCAACAGAAUAAGCACCGGCUAACUUCGUG